UAAAGAUUCAUCGCUGAUAGAUAGGCAUGCGUUCCAUUAGGCAGUUGGCGGGGUAACGGCCCACCAAACCGACGAUGGAUAGGGGUUCUGAGAGGAAGGUCCCCCACAUUGGUACUGAGACACGGACCAAACUCCUACGGGAGGCAGCAGUGAGGAAUAUUGGUCAAUGGGCGUAAGCCUGAACCAGCCAAGUCGCGUGAGGGAUGAAGGUUCUAUGGAUCGUAAACCUCUUUUAUAAGGGAAUAAAGUGCGGGACGUGUCCCGUUUUGUAUGUACCUUAUGAAUAAGGAUCGGCUAACUCCGUGCCAGCAGCCGCGGUAAUACGGAGGAUCCGAGCGUUAUCCGGAUUUAUUGGGUUUAAAGGGUGCGUAGGCGGCCUUUUAAGUCAGCGGUGAAAGUCUGUGGCUCAACCAUAGAAUUGCCGUUGAAACUGGGAGGCUUGAGUAUGUUUGAGGCAGGCGGAAUGCGUGGUGUAGCGGUGAAAUGCUUAGAUAUCACGCAGAACCCCGAUUGCGAAGGCAGCCUGCCAAGCCAUGACUGACGCUGAUGCACGAAAGCGUGGGGAUCAAACAGGAUUAGAUACCCUGGUAGUCCACGCAGUAAACGAUGAUCACUAGCUGUUUGCGAUACAGUGUAA
rnacentral:rRNA from 1 species